rfam:Cavia porcellus supercont2_68 genomic scaffold, whole genome shotgun sequence.
GGGUAUUUAGCUCAGUGGCAUAAGCACCUGCCUUGCAAGCAGGUGGUCGAGAGUUUGAUCUCCGGUACCGA